CCUACGGGAGGCAGCAGUGGGGGAUAUUGCACAAUGGGGGGAACCCUGAUGCAGCGACGCCGCGUGAGUGAAGAAGCGAUUCGGCACGUAAAGCUCUAUCAGCAGGGAAGAAAAUGACGGUACCUGACCAAGAAGCCCCGGCUAACUACGUGCCAGCAGCCGCGGUAAUACGUAGGGGGCAAGCGUUAUCCGGAUUUACUGGGUGUAAAGGGGGCGUAGACGGCUGUGCAAGUCUGGAGUGAAAGGCGGGGGCCCAACCCCCGGACUGCUCUUGAAACUGGGUGACUGGAGUGCAGGAGGGGUAGGGGGAAUUCCUAGUGUAGCGGUGAAAUGCGUAGAUAUUAGGAGGAACACCGGUGGCGAAGGCGGCCUACUGGACUGUAACUGACGUUGAGGCUCGAAGGCGUGGGGAGCAAACAGGAUUAGAUACCCUGGUAGUC
rnacentral:rRNA from 1 species